AUUGAACGCUGGCGGCAGGCCUAACACAUGCAAGUCGAGCGGAUGAAGGGAGCUUGCUCCUGGAUUCAGCGGCGGACGGGUGAGUAAUGCCUAGGAAUCUGCCUGGUAGUGGGGGAUAACGUCCGGAAACGGGCGCUAAUACCGCAUACGUCCUGCGGGAGAAAGUGGGGGAUCUUCGGACCUCACGCUCUCAGAUGAGCCUAGGUCGGAUUAGCUAGUUGGUGGGGUAAAGGCCUACCAAGGCGACGAUCCGUAACUGGUCUGAGAGGAUGAUCAGUCACACUGGAACUGAGACACGGUCCAGACUCCUACGGGAGGCAGCAGUGGGGAAUAGUGGACAAUGGGCGAAAGCCUGAUCCAGCCAUGCCGCGUGUGUGAAGAAGGUCUUCGGAUUGUAAAGCACUUUAAGUUGGGAGGAAGGGCAGUAAGUUAAUACCUUGCUGUUGUGACGUUACCAACAGAAUAAGCACCGGCUAACUUCGUG
rnacentral:rRNA from 1 species